GUAGUUUUAUUUUUGUGAUAUUCUAGUUGGUUUUACUGUCCUUCGUUGACAGGCUUUUAGUGAUUUACGUGUAUUUAUGAUGAAGGUAAAAACUUGUUUUAUUCACAAUAUGGCU